rnacentral:rRNA from 1 species
GAUGAACGCUGGCGGCGUGCCUAAUACAUGCAAGUCGAGCGAACAGACGAGGAUUUUGCUCCUCUGUCGUUAGCGGCGGACGGGUGAGUAACACGUAGAUAACCUUCCUAUAAGACUUGGAUAACUUCGGGAAACCGGAGUUAAGACCGGAUAAUCUAUUGACAUGCAUGGUUCUAUAGUGAAAGACGGUUUUUCUGUCACUUAUAGACGUAUCCGCGCCGCAGUAGGUAGUUGGGAAGGUAACGGCUUACCAAGUCAACGAUGCGUAGCCGACGUGAGAGGGUGGUCGGCCGCACUGGAGGUGCGACAGCGUCAAUACGCCUGAGGGAGGCAGCAGUAGCGAAUGGGCCGCAGCGGGCGAAAACAUGACGGAGCAACGCCACGUGAGUUAUGAAGGUGUUCGGAGCGUAAUAACCUGUUAUUAGGGAAGAACAAAUGUGUAAAUGAAAGAGCCCGUAUUGACGGUACCUACACAGAAAGCCCCGGCUAACUACGUG